GGGCUGCAGUAUUUUGACUGUACAAAGGUAGCAUAAUCAAUAGUCUCUUAAUUGGUGACUUGUAUGAAAGAUUGGAUGAAAUAUAAACUGUCUCUAGUUAAUUUAUAGAAAUUAAUUUUUUAGUAAAAAAGCUAAAAUAAUUUUAAAAGACGAGAAGACCCUAUAGAGUUUAAUAAUUUAUUUAAUUAUUGUUAAUAUAUAAUUUUUAAAAUUAUAAUAAAAUAAAUUAUUUUGUUGGGGUGAUAGAAAAAUUAAAUUAACUUUUUUUAUUUAUUAACAUUGAUUUAUGAUUAAAUGAUCCAUUUAUAAUGAUUAAAAGAAAAAAUUACCUUAGGGAUAACAGCGUAAUUUUUUUUUUUAGUUCAAAUAGGAAAAAAAGUUUGCGACCUCGAUGUUGGAUUAA
rnacentral:rRNA from 2 species